GGGAAACAUCACUGAGAGAGAGACUUGGAUCGGUCGCCUCUCAUUUGCACCCCCAACCAGGGAUGAGCCCGCAGCCAGGUUCCUGUCUGGUCCUCCGCUCCAUUCUAUUGACAUCAGGCUCCGGUGCCAGAAACCAUGGAAACGAGCAGCGUGAGGACCUCCCGACACUUCACCUGUGCUCACCGUCUUCUCACCUUGUCACGUCUCAAUUCUCUCUAUGUUUCGAUGUUUCCACAUACUGAACUCCUGGAACCCGUGGGUCACACCUGUGUACUUCAAUCAGACAACGCGGGGCUCCGCUCCUCGCAGCUCUGCCUGCGUCUGGAGGGCGCUGCGCACGGACAGGGCGCCCCCUGGGCCACAGGCCUGAGGCGUGUUCUGCAGGACGCCGCGUCGCCACGAACCCCGUGCCAAGAGGUUCGUCUUUCCGCCAUCUGUGCCUGCGGUCGGGGCCCUCGGGAGGGAGGUUCUGCACUCGAGGAAGGAGUUGGCAGCGCCUGAUGACACCCCCUCCCAGAAAGGGCAGGGGAAAUGAAGCCUUUUAUGAUGUUUCCUUCAUUUUAAACUGGAAAGUUGGCAGCGACGGGGCUUCAAAGUGAGUCGGAAAGUCUGUGUCGGGCUGGCAACGUGACCCUCCUGAGGAUGAAGGACGUUUACAAGUUUGUUUAUAGAAAAGGACAGACAGAGCUGGGCUGUGUUUACUUGGCCGGUGUUGGAAUUCCGACGAGACUGACAGAUGAAAUCUCAUUCCGGCGGUUCCCACCGAGGAAUGGCGCCUCCGGUGGAAGGUGUGAAGUUCAAUGACAGGAGUCAGCCUUUGGGGGAGCGAGGAGGGA